GGAGACAUGGUGUAGGCACUGUCAUACUUCAUUUGCAAUCAACACUUGAAGAGGUCAGGAGUUCAAUUUUUCUUGUCUUCA